CCAGGGCAUGGAAAAAACUACUACCCUCUGCUCAAGGCAGGAGCAUCCCUGACUAAAUCAUCUCAACCAAGCAUCUGUCCAACCUGUUACUGAAAA